rnacentral:rRNA from 1 species
UACAGAGGGUGCGAGCGUUAAUCGGAAUUACUGGGCGUAAAGCGUGCGCAGGCGGUUUUGUAAGCCAGAUGUGAAAGCCCCGGGCUCAACCUGGGAAUGGCAUUUGGGACUGCAAGGCUUGAGUGCGGCAGAGGAGACUGGAAUUCCUGGUGAGCAGUGAAAUGCGUAGAUAUCAGGAGGAAUACCGAUGGCGAAGGCAGGUCUCUGGGCUGACACUGACGCUCAUGCACGAAAGCGUGGGGAGCAAACAGG